UAUCUCCUUAACUUACUCAAAUUAACUCGUCAGAGUUCGGAAUUUCCCAACCAUUGUUAGGAAUUUUCCCUAAUAAACAUUCAUCCUCGAACACAGCCACACGUUCCAUCCGUUACUAGGAAUCAUCGCUAAACUAUUUCGUUUCAUUUCAAGUUUCCCCAGAGGAGUCAAGCAUUCUAGCCGAUGAUGAGAAACAUCGAUGUACUUCUUCUAUCCUCAGAAAGUCAUCACCAUAUUUUCCAAAUUCUCUGCAGAGUCAGGUAUUCCAGUCGUUGCUAA
rnacentral:lncRNA from 1 species